rnacentral:lncRNA from 1 species
AGUUUCUGGAGGUCUCGACUCGGCAAUCACGAUGUUUUUGUUGGUUUCAGGGAACACAGGUGGAUUGUCAUUAAUGUCCCUCACCUCCACCUCCACGUGGAAAACCUGCAGCGGCCUGUCCACGAUCACCUCCAGGUGGAUGCUACACUCCAAGCUCCGCCCGCACAGCUCCUCCCGGUCGAUCCGAGAAUUCACAAACAAAAUGCCAUUCUGCAGAUUUACCUCCAGAAGGUCUCCGCGGUCCUUGGACGCCACCCUGAACAAGCGGGGCACCAGCUCCGUCAGCUCCAGCCCCAGGUCCUGCGCGAUGCGGCCCACGAAGGUGCCGUGUUUGGCCUCCUCUGGGAUGGAGUAGUGGAGCUGGCCGCUCCCUGCCUCCCAGGUUGUGAGGAGCAGGAACGAGAGCAGGAGGCACCGGGAUCCUGGGCCGCUUUGCGAGAAUAAUAGCAUGGUACACACGCAGAAAGAUACGGUAGUAGCUACAGUAGACAAAAAAACCUUACCUGAAACUGCCUCUCAAACGCUGUUUUGAAGAUGUCCUGGUACUAGAGAAUUCACAGAGAGUUCUCUGAAGGAAGUGACUUUCUUUGAAAAGAAAAAAAGUUCGCAGUGAAGAGCGACAUCAUGAGGCAUGAAUGUGUUGGGAGGUAGGCUGGGGCUAAAUGCCAUGAGGUCGGUCUUGGGAAGAACUUCCCCAGAGCACACCCUCUGCCGCCUCUGCUGUGAGUAGGACCAGCUCCCCACCUCGCUGGAGCACACCAGCAUGGGCUUUCCAGGCCCCCCAGUGGCCUCAUUGACCAUAGGCAAUGCUGAGCAGCGCAGCGCUGUAUACAGCAGCAGCGUGAGUACCAACAGGCUGGACACUGCGCAGAUGGCGAUAAUCAAAUACACGUUGACAUCCACCAGCGAUGCCUCCGGGGCUGAAGCACGACCUGAUGCCUGUGAAAAGGACUUUGGAGCUUGGCCGCUUUCCACAAGAGACACUAAAACAGUUGCAGUGGCUGUCAGUGCUGGCUCACCAUGGUCCUUCACCAGCACCAAUAGAGUCUGCCGAGGAGAGUCCACCUCAUCCAAGGCACGCGUCGUGCUGAUCUCACCCGUGUACAGACCCACGCGGAAGGGGCUGCGUACGCCACCUGUUCCCAACUGUACUUCAUAUGACAGCCAAGCAUUGUAACCAGAGUCGGCAUCCACUGCCCGCACCUUGGUGACUACAUGGCCCGAUCCCACCGACCGAGACACAAGCUCGCUCACUGCCCCACCAGCUCCAACAGCUCCAUGAGGCAGCAGCGUGGGCGCAUUGUCAUUCUCAUCCAGCACAAACACCUGCAGAGUCACAUUGCUGCCCAGGGCAGGCACACCAGCAUCCCGCGCGCUCACCUGGAACUGCAGCAGCUCCAGCUCCUCAUGGUCCAGAGGCUGCAGCGCGAACACCUUGCCGCUCUCCGCGUGCACAGACACAUAGCUCGACAGCAAGCGCUCGCCCACCCUCCGCUCCACCAGCGAGUAGGACACCAGCGCGUUCUCCUGCGCAUCCGCAUCCAUCGCUGACACUGUAAAGAUGUGCGCUCCAGGCGGGUUGUUCUCCUUCACGAACACCGUGUAUUCAGGCUGCGCGAACACUGGAGCAUUGUCGUUCACGUCAGCCACUUCCACGGACACGCUGACAGUGGCAGACAGUGAAGGCGAGCCCCCGUCCCGCGCUAUCACAACCAAAUCAUAAGUUGACACUCUCUCGCGGUCCAGACUGCUAUCCAGUACCAGAGAAUAAUAAUUUUUAAAGGUGGAUACAAUCUUGAAGGGGACAUUGGGUGUAAGAGAGCAGGUCACUUGGCCAUUGAUUCCAGAAUCAAGGUCGGAUACGCUAAUUAAAGCAAUGACUGUAUUUGGCUGGGCAUCCUCUCUUACUGGGAGGGACAGCGAAGUUAAUGUCACUUCAGGGGAGUUGUCAUUGGUGUCUAAGAUUUCUACCAAGACUACACAGUGACCUACCAUUGGAGGUGUUCCUUUAUCCGUGGCCAGCACUUCUAUUUCAUACAAUUUGUUCUCUUCAUAAUCUAAAGUCCCGUUGACCCUCAAUUCUCCAUUUUUUUCAUCUAGGGUAAAUAAAUGCCUCCCAGUGGGCUUAAUGGACA